AAUCCAUGUUGUGAGCAGCGUCGAAUCAAAUCUUUAUACCUUUCCCAUGCUUUAUAGAGUGAUUCAAAAUCAUUUUUCUUGAAUUGACCAAUUUCACUUUUGAGUUG